CUGACGUCUUUUCAGGCCAGACAAGCCUACAAUUCGGGUCUGAGAACUUCUGAGUUGGCUGAGAUCGAGAGGCGCCGCCGGGUUGAGCAGGAUGAGGCAGCUGCUAUGGAAAGGGAGAUGCUGGAUGUGGACGGGCUGAAUCUGAACUUGAAUAGCCCUUUCACAAACUACUUCACUGGCCAGCCGGAUGACACCGUUUGACGUCUUGGUUAUGAUUCUCUGCUGCUGCUGUCUUACUACUCUAUCUUUACUUAAUUGUCUUUUAUUUGCGUUGGUUUGUAAUAAUUUUGAUGUUGCUUGGAUAUUGGCUGGAUGUUUUAUUUGUGUACUCUGAAUUUGAAUCUUCUUUUGUUUGAUUGUGGAAUGGUUUUUACUUUUAGAGUUUGUUUCAAUAUUUUGGCAUGUUCCUUCUUGUUACUUGAGUAUCAAUUGCUUGAUUUUCUCCGUGUGUGAUAUGUGAAACUUGCAGUGCAAUAGCUUGUUGCACUCAUGUGACCAAGAGGCAAAGGAAGGGAACGCACACUUUUUGACCGGUUCUUUGAUUCGACCCAAC
rnacentral:lncRNA from 1 species